rnacentral:rRNA from 1 species
UAGGGAAUCUUCCACAAUGGACGCAAGUCUGAUGGAGCAACGCCGCGUGAGUGAAGAAGGUUUUCGGACCGUAAAGCUCUGUUGUUGGUGAAGAAGGAUAGAGGUAGUAACUGGCCUUUAUUUGACGGUAAUCAACCAGAAAGUCACGGCUAACUACGUGCCAGCAGCCGCGGUAAUACGUAGGUGGCAAGCGUUGUCCGGAUUUAUUGGGCGUAAAGCGAGCGCAGGCGGAAGAAUAAGUCUGAUGUGAAAGCCCUCGGCUUAACCGAGGAAUUGCAUCGGAAACUGUUUUCAUUGAGUGCAGAAGAGGAGAGUAGAACUCCAUGUGUAGCGGUGGAAUGCGUAGAUAUAUGGAAGAAUACCAGUGGCGAAGGCGGCUCUCUGGUCUGCAACUGACGCUGAGGCUCGAAAGCAUGGGUAGCGAACAGGAUUAGAUACCCUGGUAGUCCAUGCCGUAAACGAUGAGUGCUAAGUGUUGGGAGGCUUCCGCCUCUCAGUGCUGCAGCUAACGCAUUAAGCACUCCGCCUGGGGGAGUACGACCGCAAGGUUGAAAC